rnacentral:tRNA from 1 species
CUGGGUAGCUCAGGGGUAGAGCAGCGGAUUCAUAAGCCGCAGGUCGUGGGUUCGAACCCCACCCCAGC